AUUAAAAUUCCUAACCAAUUAUUUGUGACAUAUAUUGCACGCACACAAUGACUAUGAGUAGAGCUAGAAUACUCCCAAAAGCACCAAUUGGUUGGUGCUUGUGAGUUUUUAGCCCUUGAUUGGAGAGAUGUGAGAUUGGGAUGAUGGUGGUAGGUGGUGGUAGGUGGUGGUAGAUGGAAUAGUGUUUGAUCCAAAGGUUAUUAGUAUUUAAGGAGUAGAUCCAAGGGCUACAAAAGUAGAAGCACCAAGGGGCCUAAUACUUCUAAAAGUAUUCUAGCUCAAUUCCAAUGACUAUAUCUAUCUAUCUAUAUAUAAAAGUAUGUAUUUUGAAUUAAACUUUGUCGACAGACCCACUUUUUGGCGGGAAUUUUUUUUAGUUCCUUUUUUUAUGCAAAACAAAUAACAUAAUGAAAUAAGUUUUUAGUUUCUCUUUUUUCUCUAACAAAUAAUUUUUAUUUUUUUAUUAAAUAUUUUUAUAUCAUUUCAUAUCUUUUUAUUUUAGGUAAAUAUUUUCAUAUGAUCUUAAUACUAUCUACUAAUAUUUAGUUAUUGUAUUACUUUUUAAGUUUUUAUUGAUUACAAUCAACAAUAAAAUUUUAAUUUAAUUUCAAAUAUAUUUAAAUUUAAUCUUAUGAUUUUACAAUUUUAUCCAAAAAUUUAUAGUAAAAACUUAAAAUUUUUAAAAAUAAUUUCAUCUAUUAUCAAUUCAAAGUUUGAACUUAAUUAUACGAUUUAUAUUCAAAUUUAUAAAUUUUUAAUUUAAAAUUAAAAAUUGAGUUUAAGUCGUGAAUUAAUUUUUUUUGGGAUAUCUAAUUUGAAUUAACAAUUAAAAACUUUUAAGUAAAGUGGAUCCAAGUUAAAUCUAAAAUUUUAUAUUUAAUGUGAGUUAGGAUAUGAUAGAAAUUUUCUCAUAAAAUAUAAUAGAUGAAAUUAUUUUUUAAAAUUUUAAGUUUGUACUAUAAAUUUUUAGAUAAAUAUGAUGCACAAAUUUAUUUGAUUUUUCAGUUAUGUGUAUUUGCACAGAUACUCGACUAGUUAUAUAUAGAAGUAUGUAUUUUGAAUUUAGAUAUAUCGACAUAUAUAUAUUUUUUAGUGGAAAAGAAAUUUUGGUUCCUCUUUUUUUUAUGGAAAUAAAUAAUGCAAUGAAAAAAAAAAAACUUCUUAUUUUUUACUUAAGUCCCGUUUGUGCUUUCAAGCUGCUUUCAAUGAUGAGAUAUUUUAUUCGACGAUUGACAUAGAUAGACCUGAGCUACAAUAUUCGAACUAUCUACAAAUCAAAUUUUAUAAUUUUUUUAUAUUAUUUGUCAAAUAAUUUAGGGCCUCAAAAAUUACUAUUUUAAUAACCGAUAUGGCACAUCUGUAAAUUCAACGGUGUAAAACAAUCUAAAUUCAAAAAUUUUAUUUUAUUACUAAAAGUAAGAUGGCUAUUUCCGAUCUAAUUUUAUUAUUAUUUUUUAUUAUUUUUUAGUUUUAAUUGUUUAUUUUAAGAUUAAUCAUUUAUUAGUCAAAUAAAAUUGAAAAAUUAUAAAAUUAGGUGUAUUUUAUUUAUGUGCACCAAUUUUUUUGGUCUUUUUGCAUAAAAAAUACACCAGUUUUGCAUUUUUGUAAAAAUGGACCACUUCUUUAGAUUUUGUAGAUUCGGUCCGAAUUUUCAAUAUACUGACUAAAAUAUCUUUAUUAAUUUUUCUCAUUCCUUCUUUCUCUCAUUCUUUUUUCCCUCUUCGACCCAUAUUACCUCCUCUACCACAUCUGCGGCCCUCAGAGACGGUAACGAGGGUGGCACGCCUCCCCUUUCUUCGUCUCUAUCUUUGCCUACGCUAGUGCGGGCAUCGGAGGAGGACUCGGAGCGAAUGCGGAGAAUGCAGCAGAUGGAGGUGGUAAGGUCGUGGCCAAGGUGGUGCUCGCUGUUACCCAUAAGGAUGAGAAUGAAGACAUGCCCCCCCUUCUCCAAGGAACACAUAGUUGAGCUGGCGAUAGUGCUAUGCACUUCCUUACUCUUCUCUUUUUAUGACUCGAUUGAGAAUUUUCUGAAAAAUGUUUAAAUUCUUUGUGCGCAUUGUAAUAGAUAGAUAUUUUUUAUUUUUGGCCCCCACCAGGUACAACACAUUAUUUGUGGACUACUACUAAUAUUUUUCUUACCGAAUAUGACAUAAAUCAUAGAAGUGGUCUUGUGGCGGAGGGCAUGACCACGGAUGGCGAUGGCAACGACGAUGAGGGUACUGAAGGAUUUAAGAACUACGGGGUGGUAGAGCGCGUCUGAUGAGGGCGGUGGCUGCAACAGAGGGCGAGGGAAAGGGUGCGAUUGCGGAAAAAGAUGCAGAGGGUAGAAAAAAAAAGAAAAGUAAAAAAUAAAAAUAAAAAUAAAAUAUAAAGUAAAAAUAAUUUUUUCUCCUGAGAAAACUAUUAUGUAUCAUCGCAACUAUAGAAAAGGCUAAGCAAAGAAGAAAGAAGAAAAAGAUGAAGUUACACAGCUAAGAUGAAGUUAUAUUGUUUCAGAAGAAAGUUGCACCGUUUGAAACAAAAAUUGCACCCUUGAGAUAAAAAUUAUGUUUUUUUAGACUAAAGUUGCACUCUUUGGGUAAAAGUCGCACUCUUUAGGGAAAGUUACAAUAUUUGAGAUGAAAAUUAUGCUGUUUGAAAGGAAAUU
rnacentral:lncRNA from 1 species